rnacentral:rRNA from 1 species
GCAGAGAUUAAAACUCGUACCUUUUGCAUCAUGAUACAGCCAGAAAACUCCGAGCAAAGAGCACUUUAGUUCGACUCCCCGAAACUAAGUGAGCUACUCCAAAACAGCCUAUUUAGGGCAAACCCGUCUCUGUGGCAAAAGAGUGGGAAGAAUUUUGAGUAGCGGUGACAGACCUAUCGAACUUAGUUAUAGCUGGUUGCCUGAGAAAUGGAUAGGAGUUCAGCCUAUUGGCUUCUUUACAAACCAAUAGAGUUAAUCAAAGGGGGUACAGCCCCUUUGAUAUAAGACACAACUUUUAUAGGAGGAUAAAGAUCAUAAUUAAACAAGGCAAAGAGUUUAGGUGGGCCUAAGAGCAGCCAUCCCAAUAGAAAGCGUUAAAGCUCAAACUAAUAAUUCCGAUAAUUUAAUCUUAAUCCCCUGACUUUACCAGGCCUCCCCAUGCAAACAUGGAAGAGAUUAUGCUGAAAUGAGUAAUAAGAGAGGACUCUCUCCCGUCACAAGUGUAAAUCGAAAUGGACCCACCACCGAAUAUUAACGGCCCCAAACAAAGAGGGUAUUGGGCCACGUCUAGAAAAACCCCCACCGUUACCCCCACACUGGUGUGAUCUCAAGGAAAGACUAAAAGAAAAAGAAGGAACUCGGCAAAUAGGCCCCGCCUGUUUACCAAAAACACCGCCUCUUGCACGAAUAAGAGGUCCCGCCUGCCCUGUGACUAUAUGUUUAACGGCCGCGGUAUUUUGACCGUGCGAAGGUAGCGCAAUCACUUGUCUUUUAAAUGGAGACCUGUAUGAAUGGCACAACGAGGGCCUAACUGUCUCCUUUUUCAGGUCAAUGAAAUUGAUCUUCCCGUGCAGAAGCGGAAAUAACCACAUAAGACGAGAAGACCCUAUGGAGCUUUAGACAAAAGACAGACCAUGUUAAGCACCUUCAAAUAAGAAACCAAACUCGAUGUUUACUGCCCUAAUGUCUUUGGUUGGGGUGACCGCGGCGAAAUAAGUAACCCCCGUGUAGAAAGAGGGCUCCCUUCGAAUCAAGAGCUUCCGCUCAAAUGAACAGAACAUCUGACUAAAAUAAGAUCCGGCAACGCCGAUCAACGGACCGAGUUACCCUAGGGAUAACAGCGCAAUCCCCUUCUAGAGCCCAUAUCGACAAGGGGGUUUACGACCUCGAUGUUGGAUCAGGACAUCCUAAUGGUGCAG